GACGAACGCUGGCGGCGUGCUUAACACAUGCAAGUCGAGCGGUAAGGCCCUUUCGGGGUACACGAGCGGCGAACGGGUGAGUAACACGUGGGUGACCUGCCCUCAGCUCUGGGAUAAGCCCGGGAAACUGGGUCUAAUACCGGAUAUGACUCCAUGACGCAUGUUGUGGGUGAAAGCCUUGUGCGGCUGAGGAUGGGCCCGCGGCCUAUCAGCUUGUUGGU
rnacentral:rRNA from 1 species